ensembl:lncRNA
CGUUCAGCAACAUCCAAGGCCAGCUGGACAGCAUUUACCUCUGCAAACUGUCAUGAUUCUCCUUUACCUUCAGUGGCCUAUGCAACUAUUUGUGCAGGGCUCCACACAGCAGCUUUCCAUCUGUGAUGCUUUCCCAGAAUACAACAUGAUUUAUCAGUGAAAAGAGCAGAUUUUAUUUUCUGGUAGUUCACAAUAUGGUGGGACCUCUUUAGCACGUGAUACUUCUUCUGCUGGUGAUGUUCUAAACCUUUUGCCUUCAGGCCAGUCCAUGAUCACCUCUAGCAUCCCUGGAUGGCUGAGGUUCCCCAUCCAAGCUCACUGUGUAAUCAGCACAAUCCACUUACUCCAAGAGGCAUCAUUGGCAUGAUGCGUGGAGGGAAUCUUUCCUUUAAACAAAGGGGGAAAAUGUUCCCUUUGGUUAAAAAAAAAAAAGUAUAAAUCAAUCAAAGACAGACCUACUGAGAAUGGGAAGGGACCCCACUGGAAGAGCAAACAUUGGGGAAGGGCAUGCAGCAGCAGGACGGCCAUCAUUGCCUUGUUUCAUGGGCUCUCCAAAGCGGGAGCACGGCACAGGGCCUGGGAUUCAGUCCGUCCUGGUGAGAGGCACAGGCUUUGCGUGGCCCUGCACAGGGCCGGGUCUUAGUGCUGGGGUGGGCUGGAUAUGACCCUGCUGGGCUAAGCUGACUGAGCUGUGCCACACCCCGCUGUUCUUGCAUCACAAACGUUGCCAUAGACCCCAGCUGGUGACAUGGCAAUCCACAUCACAAAGGGGACAACCCAACAUUUGGGCGGAGUGAGGCUGGGCACCACUUUGCCCAUGAGGUGACUGAAGAGAGGAGCUCGAUUGCUUGGCUCUCUGCAUGUCACAGGCAUGGAUACUUUCUGGGGAAUCUGCUUCUUCCUCAGACUGGAGGAUGUUAUCCUCUAUUGUAUGCUCUGGAUCACGCUGAUCCUAUCGUUGCUUGUAUUCAUUUUGACUUUGUGGAAGUGGAAGGGUGGGAGGCCAAGGUGGUACUGCUGCAGAGACAACGUGGAGAAUAACAGAGCUGCGGACCUCCACAAUGCUCUACAGUACUCAAGGACACACUCUUCCACAAUACCAGAUAUGGCAGAUAUACGUGCAGCAUUCCGUCAAAUGCAGAGAAGACUUAAGAUACUACACAGACGCUUGCAAAUUGCAAUCAUGGAGAUGUCAGAAGACGCCAAUGACUCCUCUUGCAGUGACAGCUCUCUCACUUCCAUGAAGGCAGCAGAAAACUCCAGCUCUUCGAGGGAGUCUCUUGAUGUGAGGGGGAACAAGUCCCUCACCUCCAAUAUGGCAGUGGGAGCCCGCAGCUCCUCAGAGGUCUCCCUGUCCUCAAGGAGUGAUGAGUCCCUCACGCCUGUCGAGACAAUGGGAGCUGUGUGCUCUUCAAGGGCCUCUCCAUCCUGGAACGACAGCUCCCUUGCUGACGAUGCAGCAACAGAAGCUGGCUGCUCUUCGAGAGCCCUUCUGGCCCUUCCCAGGGAAGGCUACUGUACUUCUGUCAGUGCGCAUGAAGGCAGCUGCAUGGAACAGCUAACCCUGAGCACUCCUCCUUUGCUUGGAGCAGCUUCGGGUCAUGCUGCCACGGUCCAGCCGGACCUCAUGCUUUCGGAUGCACUUGAGCCCCAAGAAGCGCAGGAAAGCUCAGCCCCUCAGAUGGAGGUGGUGCCCAGAGUGUGGAAGCCGCUGCUCCUGGAUGAGGCUGUGAAAAGGCAGCUGGAGCAGCACCUGGUAAAACUGCAGAUACAGCGGUGCUUUGGGCUACCAGAGAAGGUUCUGGCCUCCUACAAGAAGUUCUCAGAGACCAAUCAGGAGCCACAAGACUGCCAUCCUUCUCCACACAGCAACAAUGUGGAGCCCUACCGCUCGCCCUUCCUGUGCUGGAACAGGCACGCUCGCACCAGGAAGAGAGCAGUGAAGCCCCCUGGCUCAAAGAAAAAGUCCAUAGCCCCUGUGAAAAAGUGCACAAGAGGAACACAGAUGCCUGCCUACUCUCUGUCAGCUUUCAUGAUAGUGGCAGAAGAGUAUCCUCAGGAAGAUCUGGUGAAAUCCCAGAUGAGCAGGAUACAUAGCAGAACAGUUAGAAGCAGCAGAAAAGCCAGAAAGAAGAUCUGUCCUGUCAGCUUCACAGAGGAGAAGGGCACUGUGACAGAAGAGGAUGAUCUUGGUCCCUCCUUUUCCAUCCUGAAAGAGCAGACAGUGCCACAGAUCGAGGGAGCUCCUCUGCAGAAGGCAGGACAGGACACUGAGAUCCCCACCGUGCCCAGCGGGGGCAACACAGGGGUCCAGGAGCUGUCACAAGGCAGGACUGCUCCUGCAGGAAAUAAUGCACCACAGAUAGAAGAGGCUUUGAGUAAGGACACUGCCACAGCUGUGCCACCACCUCAACACCAUGAAGGGACCAGCCUGGAAGAGACACUCAGAGCACUUACAGACUUCUACAGGGUCGGCACAAGGGCUGAAAACCAGGUGAACCAGCUGCUGGCUUCCUGGCUGGAGCAGUCCCAGGACGAUGCUGGGCACAGAAGUUCAGAGCCAGCAGCUGACUGUCCCAUUGCCACGCUGUGCAGAACACAGAAAGACACACAGAAUGGUAAGGGACUCAGGCAGGACAGAGUGAGGCCCAGAAGGCUCUGCCCCAAGUGCUGCGAAGCCCAAGGACGUGGUGUGCUUGGCAGAGAAGGCACCUGGACUUCAGCUCCACUUGCAAGUGCAGCAGCAGGCACAGGAGGGGACGAGGCAGUGGGCGAGAAACAUCCAUCUGGGGAAAGGGCCAAAAAUCAAGGCCAGAAUCAGACUGCUGAUGCUGUCCAGCAGCCAAUGAGGGCUCGUAUCUACAGAUACUUUGUAUCAAUCACUACAGUCCAGCAGAGAUGUCAGUUUCAGCCACGGACAGGCUCAGUUGACAGGCACACAUCUUUGCAAGCUGCUGCUAUGGUGAUCCCCUUCCUCCUUUGCAGGCAAAGCCCUAUGUUCCAAAAUCAGGAAGAAGGGAAGUGA